rnacentral:rRNA from 1 species
GAGCGUAGGGCGCGAGCGUUGUCCGGAUUUAUUGGGCGUAAAGAGCUCGUAGGCGGCUUGUCGCGUCGGCUGUGAAAACCCGCGGCUCAACUGUGGGCGGGCAGCUGAUACGGGCAGGCUGGAGUUCGGUAGGGGAGACUGGAAUUCCUGGUGUAGCGGUGAAAUGCGCAGAUAUCAGGAGGAACACCCGGGUGGCGAAGGCGGGUCUCUGGGCCGGUAACUGACACUGGAGGAGCGAAAGCGUGGGUAGCAAACAGG